rnacentral:rRNA from 1 species
UUGCGUGGGGGAGAAAAAAUCUGGGAACUGAAUCAUCUUAGUACCAGAAAAAGAAAAUCAACCGAGAUCCCAAAAGUAGUGAGAACGAAAAUGGGGAAAUUUAUCGAACAAAGAGGGUAAGUAUUAUACAGUCCCGUAGAUAGAACAUUUGGGGAAAUCCGAAGGAUUCCCCGGAGGGCCCGGGGGAGGACCCUGAGGGGUCCCCCCCUCCCCCAAAAAAAGAUAUGGCCGGGGGGGGGAGACCGUAGGUCUCCCCCCCCCCAAAAGGAGCCAUUUUGACGACGGGGCCCCGCCCUCUCUAAACCAAAGGAUGGAAAUACCGAUAGUGAAAUAGUACUGUGAAGGAAAGUUGAAAGAGAGUUGAAAUAGAACCGGAAAUCCUAAAAAAAAAGCAGUAGAUCUAUAGAGUCUACGUACCUUUUGCAUAAGUGGUUCGCAAGUUAUUAAUUUGGCAAACUAGAAUCGUAAGGUUGAGGUGUUACGAAAGUGGAAAAAGUCAAAUGAACCCGAAACCAAGUGAUCUACCCCUGAUCUGGCGCGGGCGAAGGGUCCAAAAGGGCUCCGUGCUGCGGCCUAACCGGUGGAUGUGGCAAAAUCCUCGGAUGAAUUGGGGGUAGUGGUGAUAUGCCAAUCGCACUUGGAUAUAGCUGGUUUUCUGCGAAAACUAUCUAAGUAGCGCCGACACUCCCUUAUUUUUGUCGAGUCAGACAUUGGACGAUAAGGCCCUAUGUCUAAUGGGAAACAACCCUAAUCAUUAGUUAAGGACAUUAAUAUAA